rnacentral:rRNA from 1 species
GCAGCCGCGGUAAUACGGAGGGUGCGAGCGUUAAUCGGAAUUACUGGGCGUAAAGCGUGCGUAGGCGGCUUGAUAAGCCGGUUGUGAAAGCCCCGGGCUCAACCUGGGAACGGCAUCCGGAACUGUUAGGCUAGAGUGCAGGAGAGGAAGGUAGAAUUCCCGGUGUAGCGGUGAAAUGCGUAGAGAUCGGGAGGAAUACCAGUGGCGAAGGCGGCCUUCUGGACUGACACUGACGCUGAGGUACGAAAGCGUGGGUAGCAAACAGGAUUAGAUACCCUGGUAGUCCACGCCGUAAACGAUGUCGACUAGCCGUUGGGGUCCUCGAGACCUUUGUGGCGCAGUUAACGCACUAAGUCGACCGCCUGGGGAGUACGGCCGCAAGGUUAAAACUCAAAUGAAUUGACGGGGGCCCGCACAAGCGGUGGAGCAUGUGGUUUAAUUCGAUGCAACGCGAAGAACCUUACCUACCCUUGACAUCGUGCGAACUUUCCAGAGAUGGAUUGGUGCCUUCGGGAGCGCAYAGACAGGUGCUGCAUGGCUGUCGUCAGCUCGUGUUGUGAAAUGUUGGGUUAAGUCCCGUAACGAGCGCAACCCUUGUCCCUAUUUGCCAGCGAUUCGGUCGGGAACUCUAGGGAGACUGCCGGUGACAAACCGGAGGAAGGUGGGGACGACGUCAAGUCAUCAUGGCCCUUACGGGUAGGGCUACACACGUGCUACAAUGGCCGGUACAAUGGGUUGCAAAGCGGCGACGUGGAGCUAAUCUCAUAAAGCCGGUCUCAGUCCGGAUCGGAGUCUGCAACUCGACUCCGUGAAGUCGGAAUCGCUAGUAAUCGUGCAUCAGAAUGGCACGGUGAAUACGUUCCCGGGCCUUGUACACACCGCCCGUCACACCAUGGGAGUGGACUGCACCAGAAGUGGUUAGCCUAA